UGUUAUCCCCGUACAUACCGUAUUUUCACCGCUGCUUCCGGAAACUUGUUUUACACAUCGAGCGCAGAGCUACUGCCGAAGAAGACAGCUGAAUAAAAGCCAAGUUACAUUAACCCCUCACACGCCGAUUGAUCGGCUGCAUCCAGAAGACACAGCGAGACUGAACCUGGCUCCAUCUGGAUGACAGCGGGGGACACGACGAGGAGACACAGGCUGAAAUUUCAUAAAAAAUGGGCUUGCUGGAUCCACUUUACAGGUCCUGCAGAAUUCCACAAUUCUUUAAAUCCUCUACCUUGACUUAUCCUGGGACAGAUUCCUUUCAAGAACAUUCACGUUAUUAUUUUCAACUCAGUAAAACAUAUACUACCACUCCCUUAUGUACCCCGGUUCUCCCCUCGUUAUUCUCACAUAAUAAACUAUAUCAUUUUAAUACUCUAUUUAUAUUACACUACUCUGGAUACAUAAAUAUAUAAAAAUGUAUUUAUUCUAUUAUAUACUCUGAUUGAAUAAGAAACUUGUUUUACACAUUGACUAUGUGGAUCUUCUCUUAUACCGUAUUUGCAUUAUUCUCUAUUGUAUGGAUUUAUUGUAAAUCUAUUGUAUGGAUUUAUUGUAAAUCUUUAUGUUCAUUUCAUGUAAAAUGAUAAUACUUAAUAAAAACAUUGUAACAAA